UGACACGGUGGAAUGUCUUUCUUCUUUAUAUCUGUGUUGGCUAAAGGAAGACAGAGGAGCUUGAAAAGGCUCGCCCUCCUCAAGGAACGCUAUCUGAUUUGUAAGCAUUCCUAGAGGUUAAGGCUGGUGACUAUCAAGAAAGCAAAUACUUCACGCAAGGCUGGGAAAACGCAAUGCCUAUAAAAUCCAGAUGGAUAGCACAUGAUGCUGGAACCAGCCCCGGCCAAUCAGCCAUGUCACUUUGAUUAGAGGAAACCUAUAAGCAUUUAAGUAAAAAUCCAAACCCAACAAGAUAGUAAGAGCAGCAAACUGGCUUCACUCUGGGGUUUCAUCACAGCUCUGGCCUCCCCACACAUUACUGAAAGGUCCAGGGUCAGGACAUACUCAGGACAUCUCCCAGAAGCUCCAACACAAAUUGCUUUUGGACUUUGAGACCAUGAAACCAGAGGGACCAAAUACAGUCCCUCAGAGCAGAGUGGAUAUUCCUCCUUCGUUGCUCAUAGUCCUAUUUGUCUGCCUUCUAAAGAAGUGAACACAUCUGCUGGGGGGUUGAAGGAGCCAGGAGUGUCUGAAGCAGCUCCACAAAGCCCUGUGACUUGCUGGAGCUUUUUGGAUUUCCUGGUGGGCCAUUGAGAGUGGGAGAGAAGUGAUUAUAGGUACUCAAGCUUGGGGCAUUCCCUGAUUUUCUACACAUCUUCAACUUGCAAAGAAUAAACAGGCUGUAACUGUCUUGAGAAGAUUCCUCCAGGCUGGACACAAGGCUACACCAUAAGGGCAAUCAUGGCCACACUGAAAGACCUGUAUUUCCCUAGGAAAUAUCCUGCAGCACUGCUCGCCUUUGGAAUAUAUUUGAAAAUACCUGCCAUGGAACAUUGCGUCCCUGUUUGCUUUUCACACUGACAGUGCCCAGAGCUCAAGUUACAAGUAUAUCAAGUCGCCUCUAAGAACACCAAAGAAUAAAAAUGUGCUACUUCCAAGUGAAUGUGGACUUUCCAACAAACCCUGUACAGUUCCUUGCCUGUGAUAUUUCCACAGCUCAGUAUUCUCCCCUCCACAAAACCGUUAGAUUCCCUCAAAGGGUGAUGGAGAGCAAAGAUGUACAUAUAUUCAGGUUGAAGUCAAGGGAUGAAAAUGAUCUACCCUGGACAAGUGUUUCCUCUGGUAGCAAUGUGCUAAAAAAGCAACAGCACUG